CUGCUCGCUUCAGCAGCACAUACACUAAGAUUGGAACGAUACAGAGAAGAUUAGCAUGGCCCCUGCACAAGGAUGACACACAAAUUAGUGAAUCCGUCCAUAUUUUU